UUGUUUAUCAGAAGCAUCAUGAUACUCCUGCUCCGCCUCGUCCACCACAGGGGGCAGCACUUUUCCAACAUUUUCUUCUUUCUUGACACAGCCACCAGGCCCCUCAGCAGCACCGUCCUUCUCAUCAGGGAACCUCACAACAAUCACAGGACAAACACAGUGAUGCACGCAGUAAUCACUCACGCUACCUAGCCUCCCUUUGGUGUUCUUUCUCGAAGCCCCAAAUCCUCUGCUACCCAUAAUCACCGCGCAAAGCCCCAAUCUUUCCACCUCCAAGCAAAGUCUCUCCUUCAUGUCAUGGUCCUUCACUAUAUGAAUCUUGAAUGGAAUCUGCGCCUCAACGAGCGGUUGGGCCAGGUCGUUGGCCUUAGUGGAGGUGAAAAGGUCGAAAUCUUCCUCGAGCUUUUUCUGGGACUGUUCCUUUUGGUUCUCGAAAUCAUGGUCGGUUACGGAAAGGUCAAUUGCGCCCCAGUCCGCACCGUAGAGGACACUAGUAGAUCGGACGUGAACGAGGAUAACGGCAUCGCCCUGGCG
rnacentral:misc_RNA from 1 species